rnacentral:misc_RNA from 1 species
GAUGAAGAACGUAGCGAAAUGCGAUGAGUAAUGCGAAUUGCAGAAUUCAGUGAGUCAUCGAAUCUUUGAACGCACAUUGCGCCCUGUGGUAUUCCGCAGGGCAUGCCUGUUCGAGCGUCAUUUCAACCCUCAAGCUCUGCUUGGUGUUGGGCCCUGCCCGCUGCGGCCGGCCCUAAAGACAGUGGCGGUGCCGCCUGGCCCUGAGCGUAGUACAUCUCUCGCUCCAGUGCCCGGUGGUAGCCUGCCAGAACCCCAACUCUCGUGGUUGACCUCGGAUCAGGUAGGGAUACCCGCUGAACUUAAGCAUAUCAAUAAGCGGAGGA